GGAAUCAACGCUGGCGGCGUGCCUCAGACAUGCAAGUCGAACGCGAAAGGUUCCUUCGGGAACCGAGUAGAGUGGCGCACGGGUGAGUAACACGUAGGUAAUUUGCCUUUGGGUGGGGAAUAACUCAGGGAAACUUGAGCUAAUACCGCAUAAUGCAGCGGCUCGACAUCGAGACAGUUGUUAAAGCGGGGGAUCGCAAGACCUCGCGCCUGAAGAGAAGCCUGCGGCAGAUUAGCUAGUUGGUAAGGUAAUGGCUUACCAAGGCGACGAUCU
rnacentral:rRNA from 1 species